rnacentral:rRNA from 1 species
CGCUACCAUGCAAGUCGAGCGAGAUCUUCGGAUCUAGCGGCGGACGGGUGAGUAACGCGUGGGAACGUACCCUCUUCUGCGGGAUAGCCACUGGAAACGGUGAGUAAUACCGCAUACGCCCUUCGGGGGAAAGAUUUAUCGGAGGAGGAUCGGCCCGCGUUGGAUUAGGUAGUUGGUGGGGUAAUGGCCUACCAAGCCUACGAUCCAUAGCUGGUUUUAGAGGAUGAUCAGCCACACUGGGACUGAGACACGGCCCAGACUCCUACGGGAGGCAGCAGUGGGGAAUCUUAGACAAUGGGCGCAAGCCUGAUCUAGCCAUGCCGCGUGAGUGACGAAGGCCUUAGGGUCGUAAAGCUCUUUCGCCUGUGAUGAUAAUGACAGUAGCAGGUAAAGAAACCCCGGCUAACUCCGUGCCAGCAGCCGCGGUAAUACGGAGGGGGUUAGCGUUGUUCGGAAUUACUGGGCGUAAAGCGCACGUAGGCGGAUUGGAAAGUAUGGGGUGAAAUCCCAGGGCUCAACCCUGGAACGGCCUCAUAAACUUCCAGUCUGGAGUUCGAGAGAGGUGAGUGGAAUUCCGAGUGUAGAGGUGAAAUUCGUAGAUAUUCGGAGGAACACCAGUGGCGAAGGCGGCUCACUGGCUCGAUACUGACGCUGAGGUGCGAAAGUGUGGGGAGCAAACAGGAUUAGAUACCCUGGUAGUCCACA